ensembl:lncRNA
GGAUUACCUCCUCUGAGCUGGGUGAGGUGGGCCAGGGGCCGGGAGCAGCGGUAGGGAUGGUGACCCAAAAGCCCUUUCCUGUGGGCUGGGAGCAGCGGGAGGGAGGGUGGCCUGGAAGCCCCUUCCUCUGGACCAGGAGCAGUGGGACGACUGCUCAGAGGCCCCUACCUCUGGGCCGGGAACAGUGGGACUCAGUACCUUGGUCUGGUGGUCUGGUGUCCUCUGUGCCUUUGUAGUGUGGAACCAGGUGGCUGCUUGUCUGCAGCGGGUGAUUCAGUGUCUUCUGCAUAACUCAGGACCUCGGUAGGGAGUGCACAGACCUUCCUGUGUGCAGUGGACUGUUUUGGCGUAUUCCUCAUGACUGGGGACCUCGGUAGGGCAUCCACUUUUUAAAUUUUGAGGCAAGAUUUCAAUAAGUCACUAAGUAGCCUGGGCUGGGGUCAAACUUGUGACCUGCUGCCUCAGUCUCAAAGAGUGCUGGAGUUAUGGGCAUGUGACCACCACCAGGCCCAGUUUAGCUGACUACAUUUUAAAAUAGGAAUAAAUUCAAGGAACACAAUUGAUCAUUUACAGUAUGAAAUAAAAUUCUUGGAUAAAGAAUUUGGCAAUAAAUUUUAGAAUCUGUGAGUUUUCAUUCCAAAAAGAAUAGGAUUAGGAGAGGGAUGUAGCUCAGUGAUGCCAUGCCUGCCUGGCAAGCGCAAGGUCCUGAGUUCGAUCCCCCCCCCCCGCAGCCCCAUCAAAAAAGAAAAAAAAAAUAGGAUUAGGCACAAAUAAAACUUGAAAAAGAGAAAAAAGACUAGACUCUCAGAACUCAUUUUUUGUCAUAUUCCUGCACAUGAAAUACUGUGGAAAUGAGCCAUAUCAAGAUUAAUUCAGAUUAAUUCAGUGUACCUUACUUCAAGUAGAAUACUAUCUAAAGAGAAAAGGAAAUAGCCCUCAAAAUACUAUGAGGCUUGGCCCUGUGUAUCCCAUGCCCCAACUUAGACAGUUCCUGCAACAGCUUAGAAUCAGUGCCCUUCAAAUUCCAUGUAAUUAAAACAGUGACCUUCUAAUGUCACUAAUGCUAAGUGUUUUUAUAACUUACCUUAUUUGUUUUUAUUUUUAUCAAAGUAUAUUAUAUGAAAUUAAAUCAAGAUAGGCUAGGUUUUGCUGCUGUAACUUCAACAACAAACCCCAGAUCUCAAUAGAAUAGAACAAGGGUUUUUUUUUUUUAAUCUCAUCUCCAUCUCAUGGCCAAUAUGAAUAAGUAUCUUAGCUCAUUCAGAUUGCCAUUCCAAAAUACCAUAAACUGGGUGGCUUAUAAACAGAGAAUUUUAUUUCUCACAACUAUAGAGGCUGAAAGUCCAAGAUCAGGGCAGAUGCAUCACUCCUCAUUUCCUGAUUCACCUUCUCACUGUGUAUUUAUAUGGUAGAAGGGGCAAGACAGCACUCGAGGGUCUCUUUUAUAAGGCCUUUAAUUCCUUAUAAAUUCAGGAGGACUCUAUCUUCAUGACUUAAUCACCUUCCAAAGGCUCUGCCUCUUAACGCCAUCAUGCUGGAAAUGAAGAUUUCAAUAUCUGGAGUUUAUGGGGACACAUUCAGACCAUAGCAAUGAGAGACUGUUCACAGAAGUCAUCAAGGCUUACAGAAGCUCUGUUUCAAUACAUGCCUUCACCAGCCCUGUGGCAGAAAGUGUAGAACUCAGUGGUUUAAUAUUGGCAAUUAUACCUCUGACCAAAAGUGUCAUCUCCUCCCCCAACCUAUUGUUAAGAACUAGCCAUUUGACCACACCUGGUCAACCAGAAGGAGCAGAAGUAUGAUCCUUCCUGCUGGCCUAAAGGAGGGGACCUGGGUGUCAGUAUGCUACAGGUGUGCUUGUCUUCAGUCUUGUAAGCAUAAACACCAUUCCCUUAAACCCACUAGUUCCCAAUCCAAAGGUAAGGCCUUGACUUUCAGUGCUUCUUUUAGAAUUUGCUUCCAUAUUUAAAAUUUUUUAAUGCUUAUACUAGUAUUGAGUUGCAUACAUGUCCUUUCUGGAACCUCAGAAAGUGACCUCAUUUGGAAAUGGGGGUUCUGAAGAUUUAAUUAGUGAAGAUGGAAUUAUACUAAAAUAGGGUGGCUUCUAAAUCCAAUAAGGCCCUGUAUUUUUACAGAAAAGACUCAGAAAUGCAGACAUGAAGGGAAGACAGCUACAUGACUCUGAAGGCAGAGAUUGGAACUAUGCAGCUGUCAGCCAGUAUACUCUAAGAAUUGCUGGCAACCACCAGAAGCUAGGAGAGAGGACUGGAACAGAUUAGGAAGCUAAUGUCACACACUUUCUUAAUUUGUCAAUUUUAAAUGUUAUUCAUGACAUUUAUAAUUGUACUCGGUCCCCACUUCCCCUGCCUUCAUCUGUCCCAUUAUUCAUCAGUAAUCAACUGUUUCACUAUUUUGACUAUGCAAACAUUGUUCACUGCUGAACCAAUGAUUUAUUUUCCAGAGUUAAUUAUUGCCUCAUAUUUGCAUUUGUUAAUUCUCUAUCAGACUAUUGCUAAUUGCUCUUUCUCCCCAAAUGCAUCUACAGGUUUCUUUUCACAACUGUUUUCCAUACUGUCAAACUAAUAACAAAUGACUUGGUAGGGCUUGUUGAAGAUGGGCUUUUUCACAGAGAUCUGACUUUUUUGCUAGGCACUUCUUGUUCCCCUUCCAGUGUCUAUAGUUGAGGAUACUGUUUCUCCAGUUAUGAAUCUUUCACUCCAGAGUACGUGUGGUAGAAAAUUUAGAAAUGCACAUCAUUACCAUAUUUCUAGCCUGCUGUCACUCUGCUUCUUGCUGCUGUAUCUCCUAAGGCACCAGGCUGUAGCUGCUUUGGUUCAAUCUCCACAGAAUAAUCUUCACAUGUUUAGAGGAAAGGCAGGCAAAGAGGAGAAUAUAUAUGGAUUGUUAAGCAAUACUCCUCUUUUAAGUCUCAUAUUCCCACCUUCCAUAGUAUCUAUGAGUGUCUCCAAGGCUCAGGCUUUCUGAGAGUCUUACUAAUGUCCCCUCUUCAACUAUUUAGGGUACAGCCUCCCCUGCCCUGCUAAAGCCAUUCUCCACUCAUUCUAUUCUUACAAAGAUGUGUUAACAGUACACAUCCAUGGUUACUUCGUGACCCAUCCUCUCUAUGUCCUUAUUUAUAAUUAUUGUUCUUAGAUGUAUUAGUCAGGGCUCAACCAGGAGAUUACAUUCACUCUGAGUACUUGAAACAAUGGGGAUUUAAUGCAAAUAAUUAGUUGUAGAACUGCUGAGGAGCCAACAGAUGUCUGUGAGGCAACCCAGGGAUUAGCAAUAACACCACCACCCUAGGCUGGCUGGACAAAGGUGGUAUUGCCAGAGUCAGGGCUCUAGUAACCCUGGUGGAAGCUAGAACAAUGCUCGAUCUGUCUAGUAUCAGUGGAUCUGCAGAGGGGGCCCAGCUAUUGCUAGAUCCUCUGUCUGAGUCAUAGAGCAGUGGGCAUAAAUCCUGGCUUUCUUCCUCCUCUCCAGCUUCAGGCUCCCACCUACCACUUGCUGAACCCAUGGAUGACAUGAAGGCUCUGUCUAGAAGAGUUCAGCCUCAUACAAUGAGGCAGAGCAGAACCAGAGAAGAAGGAGAAGUGGAUCUGAAGACAAGCAGAACCAGAACUGUCACUAUGGUGGUCUUUAAAGAAAACUGAGAUAAACACGCAUUUCCACUAGGUAUUUGAAAGCUGGUACCUCAGGAGACUAUUCCCUUGGAAGGGGUUGACAGUUGCAAAGAAGAAGGGUCCAAGGUUCCAGAUUCAGAGAAGUACAACUGAUCCAAACAGUUAUAAAAGCUUAGGAGACAGCUUUCGGAGGAUUUUUCGAACAGAAGGGUUCCAGAUUCAGAGAAGUACAACUGAUCCAAACAGUUAUAAAAGCUUAGGAGACAGCUUUCGGAGGAUUUUUCGAACAGAAGGGUAUGUAUUGUUUUUGAUACAUAGACCCUUUGUUGAGAGAGGCAUGUUAAUGUAUUUGUGCAAAACAUAUUUUCUCAUUUUCCAUAGUUUAUUUUCCUAGCUUUAUUGGGAAAACACUUAAAAGUGGGCUUUCCAACUUUGUUGUAUUUUUCCUGACAUGAUUAAAAACUGAAUAUGUAUAUAGUAGAAACUUCCACAGAAAAGGUUAUUAAUAGCUUGCUUAAUGAUUAGAGGACAGUUUCCAAUUUAUAUCAUUAAGGUUUUCAAAAGUUCUUAUAACCAAGGCCACCUAAACUUGACAGUUCUUUAUUUUGUACUUAAAAAUAAUCCCCAAAUGCAUUCCUUGUUUGCACACUGGUUUAUAAAUAUGCAAUCAAAACAAAUCUGUGUCAAAAACUGAUGCAUCAAAUCCAUUAUCAUAUCUAUUAGAUCAAUGGUCCCCAGCUUUUUGGGGACUGGUUUUGUGGAAGACACUUUUCCAUAGACUGGGGUGGGUGGGGAAGAGGAGAUUCCAGCACAUGACAUUUAUUGUGCACUUUAUUUCUGUUAUUAUUAUGUUGCAGUAUGUAGUGAAAUAAUUACCAUAAUGCAGGGGACUGUUGGUACUUUCUUUUAAAUGUAGCUUUUUUUCCCCAGUCUUAGAUUCUCCCACUGUAUCAUCAUUGGGUCUUUCCCCCUUUUCAGAGAAGCUCUCUGGUUAUGUAAUAUAUUUGCAUUCAAAAAUUAUUUUCAUAAGAGAAUUGCUUAAAAAUAACUAUUGAACAUCUUACAAUAAUGAUAAUUAAUAUAUAUUUAGACUCUAUUAUAUACUUAGAAUUCUCCUUACAACUCUGCAAGGUAGGUUCCACUCCAGUUGGACAGAAUUCAAAAAAAUGUAGAGAAGUUAGUAAAUUUCACAUGUUUGUAAGUAGAGGAGCUGGACCUCAAAUCCGUAUCAGCUUGACCCUCUGUAGUUCAUUACCUCUCUUGACAGAUUAUACUAUAAAAACUAUUUUACUAAUAAUUUAUUUUAGUCAAACCUACAUCAGUAAUAUCUUUUCAGGCCAAUAUAUCCUUAAAAACAGCUAUAUGCUACAAUUUAUUAAAUUAAUUCCUUAGGUGAAUCUUAAUUUUUUUCAGAUUUUUGCUAUUAUAAAUAAUAGUGCAAUAAAUAUUCUUAUACAGUC